UACGUAGGGUGCGAGCGUUGUCCGGAAUUAUUGGGCGUAAAGGGCUCGUAGGCGGUUUGUCACGUCGGGAGUGAAAACUCAGGGCUUAACCCUGAGCCUGCUUCCGAUACGGGCAGACUAGAGGUAUGCAGGGGAGAACGGAAUUCCUGGUGUAGCGGUGAAAUGCGCAGAUAUCAGGAGGAACACCGGUGGCGAAGGCGGUUCUCUGGGCAUUACCUGACGCUGAGGAGCGAAAGCGUGGGGAGCAAACAGG
rnacentral:rRNA from 1 species